UACGUAGGGUGCGAGCGUUGUCCGGAAUUACUGGGCGUAAAGAGCUCGUAGGUGGUUUGUCGCGUUGUCCGUGAAAACUCACAACUCAAUUGUGGGCGUGCGGGCGAUACGGGCAGACUAGAGUGCGGUAGGGGAGACUGGAAUUCCUGGUGUAGCGGUGAAAUGCGCAGAUAUCAGGAGGAACACCAAUGGCGAAGGCAGCUCGCUGGGACGGUACUGACGCUGAGGCGCGAAAGCGUGGGGAGCAAACAGG
rnacentral:rRNA from 1 species